UUUUGGACAAUGGGCGAAAGCCUGAUCCAGCCAUUCCGCGUGAGUGAAGAAGGCCUUCGGGUUGUAAAGCUCUUUCGCCCCCGGCCCCCAACGAUGCAGUCGAAUAAACUGUGUUAAUGACGGUACCUUGAUAAGAAGCACCGGCUAACUACGUGCCAGCAGCCGCGGUAAUACGUAGGGUGCAAGCGUUAAUCGGAAUUACUGGGCGUAAAGCGUGCGCAGGCGGUUUUGUAAGUCAGAUGUGAAAUCCCCGAGCUCAACUUGGGAACUGGGUUUGAAACUACAAGACUAGAAUAUGUCAGAGGGGGGUAGAAUUCCACGUGUAGCAGUGAAAUGCGUAGAGAUGUGGAGGAAUACCAAUGGCGAAGGCAGCCCCCUGGGAUAAUAUUGACGCUCAUGCACGAAA
rnacentral:rRNA from 1 species